AUACGUAGGGUGCAAGCGUUGUCCGGAAUUAUUGGGCGUAAAGAGCUCGUAGGCGGUUUGUCGCGUCUGCUGUGAAAUCCCGAGGCUCAACCUCGGGCUUGCAGUGGGUACGGGCAGACUAGAGUGCGGUAGGGGAGAUUGGAAUUCCUGGUGUAGCGGUGGAAUGCGCAGAUAUCAGGAGGAACACCGAUGGCGAAGGCAGAUCUCUGGGCCGUAACUGACGCUGAGGAGCGAAAGCGUGGGGAGCGAACAGGAUUAGAUACCCUGGUAGUCCACGCCGUAAACGUUGGGCGCUAGAUGUAGGGACCUUUCCACGGUUUCUGUGUCGUAGCUAACGCAUUAAGCGCCCCGCCUGGGGAGUACGGCCGCAAGGCUAAA
rnacentral:rRNA from 1 species